GCAAUCGGGACCGCUACCUGGACCGCUCCAGAGCUCGAUCUACCUGAGGCCGGAGGCGGGGAGCCCGGAAGCCCGGAGGCAUGCGGGCAGACGGUGCGCGUCAAGAGUCGGUGGUGGCUGACGGCGGGCAGGUUUGUAAGGGAAGUUCCGGCCGGUCCACUGCCAGCACCGGGGCUUCCUCCUGGCCGCCGCGGCGUGCCCUCAGCAGGAACCGCGCCCCACUGCCCCGGGGGCGCUUGACGUGCUCAGUCGGCAGGCAUUACUCACUGACCUUGGAGCCAACCCCCUAAAAGAAUCCAACUGCAGAUUCAGACGUCCCUUCCCUGGCCCAGCUCUGCAGUCACCCACAGUUCUUUCUCAUGACGAGGACGUCCCCACACUCGUCCUCAGACGGCAGGAAGAUCUCAGGUGCAAGCGGCAUUUGGCGUCUUUGAUCUUGAAGGAGGCCCGCUGCUUGACCGACAGCACUGCAGCCUCUAGAAGGGUGGCCAGCUCGGGCUGGUGUGGCCUUAGGACUGGGGGUGCCGCAGCUCACCGUGAAGCCAUUCUCGGACUCUGAGAGAAAGGACCUGUCACCACUCUGACCCGCCUCCAACCCCUCUGCCAGGUGCUCAGUUCAAGACCUCAACUCUCCCCUGAAACUGCAGUGCCAACUCCAACCAGAAGAGGGCGCUGCGCACCUGUGCAAUCCUUGCCGUUCCAGUGCAGCCGGCCCUGGCCUGCCGGACAGGUACACUGGUAGCUGCCAGGAGUGUUGAUGCAGCCAAAUCGGCAGCCUCCCCGGUUGAUGCUGCAUUCAUCCACGUCUGGGGAAGAGUUGGAAGACAGAAAAAUAAGGUUCGAUCAAAGGAGCAUUCGUCUAUGUCUGGAAGAGCAAGGAUUCAAGCUACUGAAUCUGUCUUGGGGCACUUGACACUUGCUCAGGUGAAGGACCUGAGUGAGGGAUCUUGGCUCUCCCCCUUGAUUUGAAAGAGACGCUACUAGUGGCCUGGCCAUAGAACUCCUGGAUGCCCCUUCUACUUGGAGUCCUUGGAGACUGGAACUCUUAAGAUCUGGCGCCUAUGGAUCAGAGCCCAUGUGGUUAGGCAGGCCAUACUAAACUAAGGAUGUGAACGGGGGUGAAAGCUAUCCCUCACUCCUCACCAAGCUGUGCGUUCUGUUGGGAAGCUGGUCCACCAAAAGGAGGUCCAUUUGCAGCACAAUAAUGCCUACAGAGACUCCGCAGUGUCUACUGAGCUUCUCAGACUCUGGCCUCCUGGAAGCCCUCCCACCUAAGAACCUCUCUUCUGGUUUUCACCUUGGCCCAAGUCUGCUCACCCUGGCAGUUCCUCUCAUUGAUGAGAAGCUUAUAGCCCUUCUUGCAGCUGCAUUCAAAGCUGCCCACGGUGUUGCGGCAAAUGUGGUCACAGCCCCCGUUGUUCAGGCGGCACUCGUCUAUGUCUGGGGAAGCAAGGCAAAAGGGAACAAGAGACAAUACUGAGGGCUGGGGUUGUGGCUCAGUGGCAGAGCGCUUGC